rnacentral:pre_miRNA from 1 species
CAACUACUCCCUCUGUCCCAAAUUUCUUGUCUUAGAUUUGUCUAGAUACGGAUGUAUCUAAUACUAAAAUGUGACUUGAUACAUCCGUAUCUAGACAGAUCUAAGACAAGAAUUUUGGGACGGAGGGAGUACUUU